GGUCCAAUAGUGUAGAGGUUAUCACACAGGAUUCUGAUAGUCUCGCAGUUUCCUGUGACCCAGGUUCGAGUCCUGGUUGGACCU